AUCCAAUAACCUUUAACUCAGGAAAACCUAAAACAUGAAUUUUUAAAAACGUGAGUACAAACUCAAUGAGUGAACAUAGGAAGGGAACAAGCAACGUUGAGGAAGGUUUUGAAAUCAUGAUGUACAUCUUUGAAAACAAUGCAACUUAGUUCACGUUCUUAUUAAAAUCCCUCCAUCAAACCCCUGGUUAUUAAAUCAUUUCAUAAUAAAGGAACCAUAUUUAGCAUGAAAUUGGAAAGAGAGAAAAUUUUCAGCAAUCAUCCAAGCAAGGCAGUAUAAACAGAAUGUUUCUUGCUACAAUAAAAUCAACUCACAAGAAAAUGGGAAAUUUUCAAGAUUCAUCAUGCCAUAUAAUCAUAUAUUAUAAUCAUAAUCUUUCUAUUGUAUAUACAUAUACUUAAGCAUAUAUCAAUUAGUAUACCACCACAUCUCAUCCAGCUCAUGUGCAUCAUUACCGGCAUGUGCACUGCCCACUCCGCACAUGCACGGUUACAUCAAUUAUACAAAAUUACUUAACAAUAUAUAUAUGUAUCAUAUAUCUUUAUAUACAUAUCAGCGUCAUAUAGAAAUACAUAGAUUCAUCACAAUCAUGUUCCACAUCACAAAAACAUUUCACUUAAGGCUUGUUCCCGUGCAAGUUUUUGAAGAAAAACCAAUAAAACAUUUUAGGGGAUUCAAUCAAACAUAAAUGUGUAUAUCCCAAAACAUUUUAAUGCAAGUUCACUCACCUCGCAACAACGAGAUAUUAAAUCGUUAUUUGUUCGGAGGUAUCUCUAACUAUUUUCACUAGCUGGUCGCUCGAUGUUUACUCCGGCACUCCACCACAGUACUCUAACCUUAUCUUUGCACUCCUAACAAUAAUACGAACUCAAUAUAUUUAAUUAUAUACGUACACGGGCAACACUUCAAUCAAUUAAUCCUUACUCAAAUUUAUAUUUUUCAUCCUAUCAUGAAACCAUCUUCAAUUAACUCACAUCUUAAUACAUUUUUACUAAAAUUACUUAUAUCCAUUGCUUACGUAAUUCCUUAAAUUCAUCCUAUCGUGAAACCAUCUUCAAUUAACUCACAUCUUAAUACAUUUUUACUAAAAUUACUUAUAUCCAUUGCUUACGUAAUUCCUUAAAUUACAUCACCGGUAACUUAAUUAUGAUGUCACGUGUCUACUUCAACCUUUCUAAAUAAUUUUCACCCAAAUCCAUCUUAUAUUCCACACAUAAUCCACAUAUAUGGCAGCAACAAUCAUUCUCACUUUCACUCGAUUAUUUUUUAGUUUACAUGCAUUGUUAUCUAUCUAACUUUCAAUACAUUGUUUCUCAAUCCUCCAUCCACAAUAUUCCUUUUUCAUUUCUUUCAAACAACAUGCCAUACAAUCUUAAUAAUUUUCAACUAGCUUAGGCAAAUAAAUCCUUUCAACAACCAUAAUUCCUCACAAUAUUCAACUAAUCGUAGGUUUUAAAACAUAGUGUUAAGCUUACCGUUUUCCUUUUCUACUUUGAGUCCUUCAUGUACCCAUGGGUUUAUUGGCUUACAUGUUACCAAUUUUUCUCUAAUCAAGCCAAUCUUUGCUGCCACAAGACAUUUCUCUAAGUCACUAACUCAUUUUCAAAAACUACUCAAGCCAAAAACAAGAAUUAUUACCGUUCCUUGCUUGAAUCACCAAAAUCAAGCUUUUUCUUCCUUUCUCUCUUUUUCUUUCUUCUCCUCCUAGGAUUUAGAUGUGCUGGAAAUUUGGGUUAAAGGCUGUAAAUUUAGUGCUCAAGAAGUUUGGAGAAGAAAGGAAAAGAAAAUAUGGAAAGGAAAAAUGAAGAAAACUUGGUUUCAUGGUGGACAAAGAGAAAAUGGCAUGGAA
rnacentral:lncRNA from 1 species